CUCUUAUUAAAACACUUUGACACUUUGGUCCACAGUGGCUUUGGUGCCUUGAACAUCAGCACUCCAAAACACUUGCGUAGACAAUUUAUUAUCUUCAGCAUUCUUCAUAACUGUGAUGAAGAGGAGCACAGACAAACACAAGAGAGAUAUAGAGUGUGAGAAGUAACUGAAAAUAUCACUUCAGCUGAACUCUUGAAGAAAGCAGAUGUGUUUUAUCUAAGUGUCUUUAAGUAAAGGAUUUGAAGAAAUGUCACAUGUUGUUCAUUUUGGACUGCUUAUCGCAUGCUCAGUUCUUGUUGGGUGUAGCAGCAUUAACAAGGAACAAUGGAAGAGCAUGCUGGAAAAAAAAAAGUUGAACCUUCCCCAAGAAUUCAAAAUGAGUCAUGAAUUGAACAUAGAGAACUCUGAGAUGAAUGCCAUUAUGUGUUGGGUUUGCAAGAAGUCAAUUCAUGAGAUCAAGGGUGUGAUUCUUCAUGAGAUUAAAAAGGAAAUACAGGCCGUGUGCAAAGCAAUGAAAAUUCUCAAACACAUCUGCGAGCUCAAUGCUUACAAAUACCAAUUAAUUAUACUUCAUCUACUGUUUCCUGGUAAUAGCAAACAAACCUGUCACAGUUUGAGCAUGUGUAAAUAAAUGUAUUGCCCUGUUGUGAUGAACCAAAUUAUUUUCAACAUACUUUUAAUAAAUCAGCCUGUGGUCUGUUUGAUGUUGCUAUA
ensembl:lncRNA